rnacentral:lncRNA from 1 species
AAAGUCGAUCUUCAAAAAGUCAAUCCCUAGUGCACUUGGAGGAUUCCUUGGAAGUCGAUGCCUGAAAGCCUAGCUCCUUGAGGGAUCGACUUUUUUUCCUUGGAAGAAAAAGUCGAUCUUCUGAAAUGUCGAUCCCUUGCUGGCUGAUUUCCUCGCAAGACUCCCUAGCUGGCGACUUGGAAAAAAGUCGAUCACUUUUUUCGAAAAAGUCGAGGAGCUUUUGUCGUGAGUAUCUUUGAGUCACAGACGGCGCCAACUGAUGGGGGUGAAACCCGACCAGUACUCCAAGACGCGCAAGCAAGCGCCAAGCGGGGAACUCCGUGGGAAACCGGACCGGAACUCAAGUGCGCAGAGCUCUGCUUCGCUAGGAAUCCUUUCGCUCCAAAUGACCUGCCUUUAAUGAGUGGGGGGUGCCCUCUAUUUAUAGGGGUUCUUAUGGGGGCAAUAUGGUCAUUUGGGCAGUAACCGCCUAACU